ensembl:miRNA
UCCAAGAUGUUGGGCAGAGGAGGCAGGGACAACAAACUGGUGGCCCAGCUGUAUCAACCUGUGCUUCUCUUCCCAGUCAUCCUGUGAA